AUGGCUGUCGUCAGCUCGUGUCGUGAGAUGUUGGGUUAAGUCCCGCAACGAGCGCAACCCUCACCCAAUGUUGCCAGCGUAAAGUCGGGAACUCUUUGGGAACUGCCCGUGUAAGCGGGAGGAAGGUGGGGAUGACGUCAAAUCGGCAUGGCCCUUACACCCUGGGCUUGACACAUGCUACAAUGGCCGUUGAACAGAGCGACGCGAUACCGCGAGGUGGAGCCAAUCGCAAAAAUACGGUCUCAGUUCAGAUUGCAGGCUGCAACUCGCCUGCAUGAAGUCGGAAUCGCUAGUAACCGCAGGUCAGCUAAACUGCGGUGAAUACGUUCCCGGGCCUUGUACACACCGCCCGUCACACCACGAAAGUUGGUAACACCCGAAGCCGGUGGCCUAACCCUCGGGAGGGAGCCGUCGAAGGUGGGAUCAGCGAUUGGGGUGAAGUCGUAACAAGGUAGCCGUACCGGAAGGUGCGGCUGGAUCACCUCCUUCCUAAGGAGCUCACUGCCUGGAAUUAUCACAAUUCCAGGAACUCCUACGUCGAUCACUGGUCAGCUGGCAUUCGGCCAAUUCCGACCCCCUCAGCCUCGGCUGAACGGCACCACCGGGACCCGGAUUGCCGGCGUGCGCGUCACUGUUCCGUUUUGAGGGAGCGGUCGCUCGGGCUUCUCGCCCGGAGGCUGCUACCUCGAGGCCAGAUCCGCCCCCGCCGCCCCGCAUUGCGGGGCGGGCGCGCGGACGACUUCAACGCCCCUUGAGAACCGCAGAGCGAGCACGAGCAUCUAGCAAACAGUGCAAGACGAAAAUCCCAAGCUAUAAAGAGCCAACGGUGGAUGCCUUGGCGCCAGAUGCCGAUGAAGGACGUGGGUGGCUGCGAAAAGCCACGGUGAGCUGCCGACCAAGCAUUGACCCGUGGAUCUCCGAAUGGGGAAACCCGG
rnacentral:sRNA from 1 species